rnacentral:rRNA from 1 species
UACGUAGGUGGCGAGCGUUGUCCGGAUUUACUGGGCGUAAAGGGAGCGUAGGCGGACUUUUAAGUGAGAUGUGAAAUACUCGGGCUCAACUUGAGUGCUGCAUUUCAAACUGGAAGUCUAGAGUGCAGGAGAGGAGAAUAGAAUUCCUAGUGUAGCGGUGAAAUGCGUAGAGAUUAGGAAGAACACCAGUGGCGAAGGCGAUUCUCUGGACUGUAACUGACGCUGAGGCUCGAAAGCGUGGGGAGCAAACAGG